rnacentral:rRNA from 1 species
AUUAAGCCAUGCAUGUCUCAGUGCAAGCCGUAUUAAGGCGAUACCGCGAAUGGCUCAAUAUAUCAGUUUUGGUUCCUUAGAUCUUACUCAGUUACUUGGAUAACUGUGGUAAUUCUAGAGCUAAUACAUGCAAUCAGAACUCUGACCAGUGAUGGGAUGAGUGCUUUUAUUAGAUCAAAACCAAUCGACGGAGGGCCUCGCGUCCGAAGUCGUUAAUUUUGAUGAAUCUGGAUAACUUUUGCCGAUCGCAUGGUCCAGUACCGGCGACGCAUCUUUCAAAUGUCUGCCUUAUCAACUUUCGAUGGUAGUUUCUGCGACUACCAUGGUUGUCACGGGUAACGGGGAAUCAGGGUUCGAUUCCGGAGAGGGAGCCUGAGAAACGGCUACCACAUCCAAGGAAGGCAGCAGGCGCGCAAAUUACCCACUCCCGGCACGGGGAGGUAGUGACGAAAAAUAACGAUACGGGACUCUUACGAGGCCUCGUAAUCGGAAUGAGUACACUU